UACGAAGGGUGCAAGCGUUACUCGGAAUCACUGGGCGCAAAGCGUGCGUAGGCGGUUCGUUAAGUCUGCUGUGAAAGCCCUGGGCUCAACCUGGGAACUGCAGUGGAUACUGGCGGACUAGAGUGUGAUAGAGGAUGGUGGAAUUCCCCGGUGUAGCGGUGAAAUGCGUAGAGAUCGGGAGGAACACCAGUGGCGAAGGCGGCCAUCUGGAUCAACACUGACGCUGAGGCACGAAAGCGUGGGGAGCAAACAGG
rnacentral:rRNA from 1 species